rnacentral:tRNA from 1 species
UCCGGAAUGGCUCAGUCGGUUAGAGCGGGUGGCUGUUAACCACUAGGUCGGGGGUUCGAGUCCCUCUUCCGGAG